rnacentral:lncRNA from 1 species
UCCGCUGCGAGUCCUCCUGCCUCCCUGAGAACACAGUGCACAGCAUCCGGGAGAGACUGGCCAGGACUUGGUGUUCAGUUACCUCCAACACCAAAGACAGUUGGACUUGCAUUCCCUGGGGCCAGCUCACAAGCUUCAGAGAGCUCACAGCAUAAUGUCUUCUUCUGACACAUGCUCACUGAACAUCCACCAUGAGCCAGGCACUGGACCUCUGUUCUGAACGCCAUGUGCCUCCCCUGGUCUCUGGAAGUCCAGUAGGCACCUGUACAUCUAGACACCUCCCCUGCACACAAAUCUGCUCUUCCUAUGACAGUCCCUGUGUCAUUGUCAUAAGAGAUACAUUUGAUUCUCCACCCUGGUUCUGGCACGAGAACUCUAAAAGCCUUGGGAUUUCCUAAGAGAUGAGGUUACACUGAGGUGAGGCCAACUGCUCUGUGUGUGGAAGCCAGAGAAGAAAGCAGCACAGAACAGAUGCAAACCAAGGAGGCUGGAAGAUAAGAGCAGAGCCAUCAGGACACGAGCCCCUCGCGGCAUUUCAGAGCUUCCUGUGUGCAGCAUGGAUCUAAAGCUGGUGGAUGCAGGGGGGUGAACAAGACAACAUCUUCACUUCCUGCAUGCUGAUGGCAGAAGUGAGACAUCAGCGAAGAAACAUCACGAUCACCAAAUUACGAUGAACACCAUGGAGGAAACAAAGGACACUGUGACACCAAGGAAGGAAGGGAGGUUACUUUUCAUAGUGGCUGUAAAUAGAACUGAAGGCUGAAAAACAGCUGUUAAAAUGGCUUGUUUGUUUGAAGAUGAAUGAGAGUACACAAUAAAAGGAAAAAAAUUUGGACACAGACACACACAGAGGGAUGACCACGUGGAGAUGCAGGGAGAGGAUAGCAGCUACAGGCCAGGGCGAGAGGCCUCAGAGGAAACCAGUCCUGCUGACUCUUUGAACUCGGACUUCCAGCCUCCAGAACUGAACCACUGUCUUCCUUUAUCCCAGGAUGUCUGCAAGGAAGAAAAUGUCCUUUUUCUAGCAUUUAGAGGCCACCAACAUUGAAUAACCACACUGGGGUAGACACAGCGGCGAAGAGAUUCCUGCUGUUCCCAUCACAGCAGCCUUGGAGAUGAGAAGACAGAUGGAUCUGACCAGAAGUCUGGAGAACUUCGAGAAAAAAGGAGGAGGACACAAAAGGAAAUAACAAAAAAGAUGCAUCCGGAGCAACUAUGAGGAUGGUAAAUUGGUGUCUAAUUCUGAAAAUCAUAAUUGGUAUAAAUGCUAUGUACUGUGGAAGGAGGGAUGAAGGGUAGAGGGAAUAAAAAAGAACAUGAAGUUAGAAUCCUUGGCAUGAAAGCCUGCCAUUUAUACAAGCAAACAAACAAGAUCAGGGACUAUCAACUGGCUGGCUGAAUUGGACCAAUAGGCAGGUUUAUUCAGCCCCACACUUCAAAAAUUAGGAGAUCUCCAAAUUAAAAUCUGGGAAUCUGACCUUUUGUAACAAAUCAGAGGAUUUGCAACACCAAGAGCAUCAUCACAGGCAACGACCAGCUUGGAUGGGCAGCGGCUGCCCCUGCAGGUGGGUCAGGUGCUCUUCCGUUGGACACAGUCUCCACCACUCCCUGUCGCUUGCUCCUUGCUCCCCAUCAGCAUAACUGUUUGGGCCUUAUAGCAUAUGCAUUUAUCACUCCCUACUAGGACGUCCACAACAUGAAAUGAGAGAACGAUUUGGUAAGUUCAACAAAAGGCAUAUUAUGCAGCCACCAUACAUUCUUUGUGGAAAGAGAAGUGGCAUAAAUCAAUUCAUAAAUUAUCUCAAGUUGUUUCCUCUGGAGUCCUGGGCUGGCUGUUGGAUGAAUUCAUCUGUCUUCUAGCAGAUGGACAAGAAAAUUGAAUUGUAGUGGCCCAUCAGGUGUCGAUCGCAGCCUCUGGGUCCGUGUAGGUGAGCCCUCACCACAGAGAGAAUGAGAGCUGGCUCUAGGACGGGGUGUUGAUCUGUGCACAGCUGCCCGGGAAAGGGCCUAGAGAGAGGAGCUAUGGGUCCUGCACUGACAUCAGCCUUGAACAUGAGGCUGGCGUGGCAGCGGCGGCGGGGUGGGGGGGGACAUGAAUAAUUCAUAUCGCAACCAGAUUGAUGCUCAGUGAGCUUCAAUAGGAAUGAAUUACCUUGUGUGCAUUUCCUGCCUAAAUGUCAGUGUAUCUUUUCACAAGCGCCUGGGACGGGUUUAUGAAUAGGUGCAUUCUCUGAUGCCUCUGCUUUAGGCAAGGCAGUUUCAGAAUCUUGGCUGAGUUUCCAACUUCUGACUUGCUAUUUACAAACUGUAAUCAUAAGAUUUCAAGUGACACAUGACUGAAAAAAAAAAGCCCUUACUCAGGAGAAAUCUGGAUGGAAAUGGAACAAUGGUUUUGAAUGUAUCUGGAUCAUGAAAUGAAAGUCAGGAGGCUUGAGUGUUCUGCUGAGAAAAAGUGAUGGGGGAAGAACAUAAACAUGUAUAGGACACUUACUGUCUUGGGAACUUUAUGGGUGUUCUCAUUGUUAACAUCAUUUAACAGAUGAGAAAAACAGUUCUCAGACAUUGCUGCUAACAGAAAUUCAAUGCAAGCCACAUUUGUAAUUUAAGAUUUCCUAGUAACCACAUUAAAAAAGAGAAAAAUAAAAAAGAGACUGA